GACGAACGCUGGCGGCGUGCUUAACACAUGCUAUUCGAACGGAAAGGCCCUGCUUUUGUGGGGUGCUCGAGUGGCGAACGGGUGAGUAACACGUGAGUAACCUGCCCUUGACUUUGGGAUAACUUCAGGAAACUGGGGCUAAUACCGGAUAGGAGCUCCUGCUGCAUGGUGGGGGUUGGAAAGUUUCGGCGGUUGGGGAUGGACUCGCGGCUUAUCAGCUUGUUGGUGGGGUAGUGGCUUACCAAGGCUUUGACGGGUAGCCGGCCUGAGAGGGUGACCGGCCACAUUGGGACUGAGAUACGGCCCAGACUCCUACGGGAGGCAGCAGUGGGGAAUAUUGCACAAUGGGCGGAAGCCUGAUGCAGCAACGCCGCGUGCGGGAUGACGGCCUUCGGGUUGUAAACCGCUUUCGCCUGUGACGAAGCGUGAGUGACGGUAAUGGGUAAAGAAGCACCGGCUAACUACGUGCCAGCAGCCGCGGUGAUACGUAGGGUGCGAGCGUUGUCCGGAUUUAUUGGGCGUAAAGGGCUCGUAGGUGGUUGAUCGCGUCGGAAGUGUAAUCUUGGGGCUUAACCCUGAGCGUGCUUUCGAUACGGGUUGACUUGAGGAAGGUAGGGGAGAAUGGAAUUCCUGGUGGAGCGGUGGAAUGCGCAGAUAUCAGGAGGAACACCAGUGGCGAAGGCGGUUCUCUGGGCCUUUCCUGACGCUGAGGAGCGAAAGCGUGGGGAGCGAACAGGCUUAGAUACCCUGGUAGUCCACGCUGUAAACGGUGGGUACUAGGUGUGGGGUCCAUUCCACGGGUUCCGUGCCGUAGCUAACGCUUUAAGUACCCCGCCUGGGGAGUACGGCCGCAAGGCUAAAACUCAAAGGAAUUGACGGGGCCCCGCACAAGCGGCGGAGCAUGCGGAUUAAUUCGAUGCAACGCGUAGAACCUUACCUGGGUUUGACAUGGGUCGGGAGUGCUCAGAGAUGGGUGUGCCUCUUUUGGGGUCGGUUCACAGGUGGUGCAUGCCUGUCGUCAGCUCGCGUCGUGAGAUGUUGGGUUAAGUCCCGCAACGAGCGCAACCCUUGUUCACUGUUGCCAGCACGUUAUGGUGGGGACUCAGUGGAGACCGCCGGGGUCAACUCGGAGGAAGGUGGGGAUGACGUCAAGUCCUCAUGCCCCUUAUGUCCAGGGCUUCACGCAUGCUACAAUGGCUGGUACAGAGAGUGGCGAGCCUGUGAGGGUGAGCGAAUCUCGGAAAGCCGGUCUCAGUUCGGAUUGGGGUCUGCAACUCGACCUCAUGAAGUCGGAGUCGCUAGUAAUCGCAGAUCAGCAACGCUGCGGUGAAUAAAAGCCCGGGGCU
rnacentral:rRNA from 1 species